UAUUGCUUCAUGUAAUCGUUACAUCGUCGAAUUUGGGUCACACUGAGAUACUUUUUAUAUGGGUAAAGUAUCUCUAAAUUCUUUGCGCGUCUUAUAAAUAAGACUAACAAUCAUCAUGCAGAGAUCUCCCUCUGGUUUAGUUCAAACCUGUAUAUUUUAGUUUGAUUGCAUAGGGCUUAUUUGAUAAAGCUGUAAAUUUUGUUUCCUGUGCCUAGAACCAGUACUUUGUGUCUAUAGGGAAGAUCUAAAGAACGCUUCCACAGUGGGGAUCGAACCCGUGACCUCCUGGUCGCUAGGCGGACACCAUAUCCUUUACGCCACGGCUACCUCAGGGUUUGGGGUAACGGUACAGUUUGUCAAGACACCAAACGCAAAGCCUAUCCCAAGGCAAUGCCCCAUUUGCGUGGUAAAGGGCAAGACGACUAUGUACCUCUGGGUAACAGAUCACGUUCGCUGGGUGCAAGCGCUGACGGCAGGCCCCAUGAAGCCGUUAAUGUCAGAGGCACGUGCUAAGACCGGGCGGAAAGUGAAGAAGACAAAGCCGAGAAAUUACUACUCUUGCUGGCUGUGCGACCGGUCGGUGAUUGACCGGCUGCGUCAUCUAGAACAGGAGCACAAAAUGGAGGCUGGGACAUUCAAUUUCGUUUACACAAGAGGGCCGUUUCCGGAAGGUCGCGAAAACUUCAGGAAAGGUGACCAGCAGACUCGCCACUCAUGAUUAUUGGCAUAGGAGGAUGAGAAGGUUGAGGAGGAGGAGGAAGAAGACUUUUCGUUCCUAACGCGGAAAUACUGCCUGAGCCUGGAACCCAAUGCAAGGCUUCAAUCGUUGACUCAUAUGAUGACUACAUGUUCCUGCGGAGCAGGCCAGGUGGGUUGGCAAACGAGUCGAAAACACAAGAGGUCAACAUGAAGAUCAACCGGUUCCUGGCCCUGUCUGGCUACUUGGAAGGAGC